AAUUUUGGACAAUGGGGGAAACCCUGAUCCAGCCAUCCCGCGCGUAUGAUGAAGGCCUUAGGGUUGUAAAGUACUUUUGGCAGAGAAGAAAAGGUAUCUCCUAAUACGAGAUACUGCUGACGGUAGCUGCAGAAUAAGCACCGGCGAACUACGUGCCAGCAGCCGCGGUAAUACGUAGGCUGUAAGCGUUAAUCAGAAUUACUGGGCGUAAAGCGUGUGUAGGCGCUUCGUAAAGAAAGUUGUGAAAUCCCAAUGCUCAACCUUGGAACUGCAUUUUUAACAGCCGAGCUAGAGUAUGUCAGAGGGGGGUAGAAUUCCACGUGUAGCAGUGAAAUGCGUAGAUAUGUGGAGGAAUACCGAUGGCGAAGGCAGCCCCCUGGGAUAAUACUGACGCUCAGACACGAAAGCGUGGGGAGCAAACA
rnacentral:rRNA from 1 species